rnacentral:rRNA from 1 species
AUGCGAGUCGAAUGGGAUACCUAAAUCUCCCAUGGCGAACUGCUCAGUAACACAUGAUCAACUUGCCCUAUGGAGAAGAAUAACCUCGGGAAACUGAGGAUAAUGCUUCAUAGUUGAAAAGGCUUGGAAAAGUUUUUCAAUAAAAGGAGUAAGAAAAAUGGUUCUUACUUGCUAUAGGAUAGGAUCGUGGUCGAUUAUGGUAGUUGGUGAGGUAACGGCUCACCAAGCCGAUAAUCGAUAGGGGCCGUGAGAGCGGGAGCCCCGAGAUGGGUACUGAGACAACGACCCAGGCCUUACGAGGCGCAGCAGGCGCGGAACCUCCGCAAUACACGAAAGUGUGACGGGGUUACCCAAAGUGUCCUUAUUGGACUGUGGUAGGUGAGUAAUGUCCCCUACUAGAAAGGAGAGGGCAAGGCUGGUGCCAGCCGCCGCGGUAAAACCAGCUCUUCAAGUGGUCGGGAUAAUUAUUGGGCUUAAAGUGUCCGUAGCCGGUUUAGCAAGUUCCUGGUAAAAUCGGGUAGCUUAACUAUCUGUAUGCUAGGAAUACUACUAAUACUAGAGGGCGGGAGAGGUCUGAGGUACUACAGGGGUAGGGGUGAAAUCUUAUAAUCCUUGUAGGACCACCAGUGGCGAAGGCGUCAGACUGGAACGCGCCUGACGGUGAGGGACGAAAGCCAGGGGAGCGAACCGGAUUAGAUACCCGGGUAGUCCUGGCCGUAAACGAUGCAUACUAGGUGAUGGUAUGGCCAUGAGCCAUGCCAGUGCCGAAGGGAAACCGUUAAGUGUGCCGCCUGGGAAGUACGGUCGCAAGGCUAAAACUUAA